AUUUGGUUCAGAGUAGGAAAUUUUAGAUUAUCCUUUUUUAAUUGUUCAUAAUUAGUAUAAAUAGGCCUCUGCUCACAGCCUCAAAACUCGAAGCAAAUUAACAUGGCUAGAGACAAGAGUAUGGGUGCAAUAGUUCUUCUCCUUAUUUGUGGUUCAAUCCUACUGGGUAUGAAUCCAACUGAGGCCAAAGUUUGCAUUCAAAUUUGCUACGAGGCAGCUUAUAUGACUUGCCCGUCUUCAGGCUCUACGCAUCUUUCGCCAUCUUGCAACUGUUGCUUAGCUCCGGAGGUCGGCUGCAAAAUUUACAACUCUGACGGAACUCAAAUCUGUACUAGUACUUGAAUAUUAAGACGCAUGAUCACCGUGCCCUGGUAUUAAUGGUUUUAAGUAAUGAAGUAAUAAAAACGAGAAUAAGAAAGAGACUUCGAUGUCUGGGUUAUAUA